rnacentral:rRNA from 1 species
CCUACGGGAGGCAGCAGUGAGGAAUAUUGGUCAAUGGCCGUAAGGCUGAACCAGCCAAGUAGCGUGAGUGAAGAAGUAAUUCGUUACGUAAAGCUCUAUCAGCAGGGAAGAAAAGGACGGUAACUGAGGAAGAAGCCCCGGCUAACGACGUGCCAGCAGCCGCCGGAAUACGUAGGGGGCAAGCUUUCGCCGGAUUUACUGGGGGGAAAGGGAGCGUAGACGGUGCGCCAAGUCUGGAGGGAAAUGCCGCAGCUUAACUGCGGAACGGCUUUGGAAACGGGCGAACUAGAGUGCGGGAGGGGUAAGCGGUAUUCCUUGUGUGGCGGUGAAAUGCGUAUAUAUUAGGAGGAACCCCGGUGUCG